AUUGAACGCUGGCGGCAGGCCUAACACAUGCAAGUCGAGCGGAUGAAGGGAGCUUGCUCCUGGAUUCAGCGGCGGACGGGUGAGUAAUGCCUAGGAAUCUGCCUGGUAGUGGGGGAUAACGUCCGGAAACGGGCGCUAAUACCGCAUACGUCCUGAGGGAGAAAGUGGGGGAUCUUCGGACCUCACGCUAUCAGAUGAGCCUAGGUCGGAUUAGCUAGUUGGUGGGGUAAAGGCCUACCAAGGCGACGAUCCGUAACUGGUCUGAGAGGAUGAUCAGUCACACUGGAACUGAGACACGGUCCAGACUCCUACGGGAGGCAGCAGUGGGGAAUAUUGCACAAUGGGCGAAAGCCUGAUCCAGCAAUGCCGCGUGUGUGAAGAAGGUCUUCGGAUUGUAAAGCACUUUAAGUUGGGAGGAAGGGAAGUAAGUUAAUACCUUGAUGUUUUGACGGUACCAACAGAAUAAGCACCGGCUAACUUCGUG
rnacentral:rRNA from 1 species